rnacentral:rRNA from 1 species
CGAUGAAGCCCUUCGGGGUGGAUUAGUGGCGAACGGGUGAGUAACACGUGGGCAAUCUGCCCUGCACUCUGGGACAAGCCCUGGAAACGGGGUCUAAUACCGGAUAUGACUGUCCACCGCAUGGUGGAUGGUGUAAAGCUCCGGCGGUGCAGGAUGAGCCCGCGGCCUAUCAGCUUGUUGGUGAGGUAGUGGCUCACCAAGGCGACGACGGGUAGCCGGCCUGAGAGGGCGACCGGCCACACUGGGACUGAGACACGGCCCAGACUCCUACGGGAGGCAGCAGUGGGGAAUAUUGCACAAUGGGCGAAAGCCUGAUGCAGCGACGCCGCGUGAGGGAUGACGGCCUUCGGGUUGUAAACCUCUUUCAGCAGGGAAGAAGCGAAAGUGACGGUACCUGCAGAAGAAGCGCCGGCUAACUACGUGCCAGCAGCCGCGGUAAUACGUAGGGCGCAAGCGUUGUCCGGAAUUAUUGGGCGUAAAGAGCUCGUAGGCGGCUUGUCACGUCGGUUGUGAAAGCCCGGGGCUUAACCCCGGGUCUGCAGUCGAUACGGGCAGGCUAGAGUUCGGUAGGGGAGAUCGGAAUUCCUGGUGUAGCGGUGAAAUGCGCAGAUAUCAGGAGGAACACCGGUGGCGAAGGCGGAUCUCUGGGCCGAUACUGACGCUGAGGAGCGAAAGCGUGGGGAGCGAACAGGAUUAGAUACCCUGGUAGUCCACGCCGUAAACGGUGGGCACUAGGUGUGGGCAACAUUCCACGUUGUCCGUGCCGCAGCUAACGCAUUAAGUGCCCCGCCUGGGGAGUAC